rnacentral:rRNA from 1 species
AGGCGGUCUGUCAAGUCGGAUGUGAAAUCCCCGGGCUCAACCUGGGAACUGCAUUCGAAACUGGCAGGCUUGAGUCUUGUAGAGGGGGGUAGAAUUCCAGGUGUAGCGGUGAAAUGCGUAGAGAUCUGGAGGAAUACCGGUGGCGAAGGCGGCCCCCUGGACAAAGACUGACGCUCAGGUGCGAAAGCGUGGGGAGCAAACAGGAUUAGAUACCCUGGUAGUCCACGCCGUAAACGAUGUCUACUUGGAGGUUGUGCCCUUGAGGCGUGGCUUCCGGAGCUAACGCGUUAAGUAGACCGCCUG